AAUGCCUACCUAUGAAUAAGCACCGGCAAACACCGUGCCAGCAGCCGCGGUAAUAGAGAGGGCCCAAGCGUUACUGGGAAUCACUGGGCGUAAAGGGUGCGUAGGCUGGUUUAUAAGUCAGAUGUGAAAUCCCGUGGCUCAUCCAUUCCACCACACUUGAAACUGAACCCCUAGAGUUCAGAAGGGCAGAGGAUUCACUGGUGUAGGGGUAAAAUCUGUAUAUGCCUCUAGUAACCUCGAUGUGAUUAGACUGCUGAACGAUACGAAUGCCUACCUAUGAAUAAGCACCGGCAAACACCGUGCCAGCAGCCGCGGUAAUAGAGAGGGCCCAAGCGUUACUGGGAAUCACUGGGCGUAAAGGGUGCGUAGGCUGGUUUAUAAGUCAGAUGUGAAAUCCCGUGGCUCAUCCAUUCCACCACACUUGAAACUGAACCCCUAGAGUUCAGAAGGGCAGAGGAUUCACUGGUGUAGGGGUAAAAUCUGUAUAUGCCUCUAGUAACCUCGAUGUGAUUAGACUGCUGAACGAUACG
rnacentral:rRNA from 1 species